AGGAAAAAGUCAAUUCCUGCAUGGGAGGGAAGCCAGAGGAGAGACAGGUUCUAGACAAAACAGAAGCAAAGGUGGUACUUCUCAUCUCCCUCAAAAGAGUGUGCCUAAGGAGGGAAUGUGCCAGGCAGCAGAAAUCAAGCCCUAGGGAAGAGACUUCCUCCAGUGGUGACCUCGAAGAGGAUUGAAGUUGGAGUUCCUGUGGCGCACAUUCAUCAACUCUGCUCAUUGCCAAGGUUUUACACUGAAGCCUUCUUGUUGCUGCUUCUCAAAGCUUUCCAAGAUAGUCAAGUAACAGUGUGAUUUUUGCCUGCUGACAUGCUUGGGCUCCUCUUUUCAAGUUGAAGAUCAGAAACCAGCAAACUGCAUGGACAAAAUAAAAAACAGGGUAAAAUAGGAGUGUAAAUCCCUAUGCAGCAUCUCUCCAUCAUGCCUUUCUACAUCAUCUUGCUGUAUCAAACUUCAAAAGCAAAUCUUGCCUAAUGAGCAAGAACAGUCUGUGGCCAGUCAUCCAGGCAAAUGGCUCAUGGGUACAGGGCAGGAGGAAACCAGAAGAAAUCUGUUACUUAACUAUUGGAGUCUGAGAAAAUGAGCUCCCCCCCAAAACUUGUGUGGGUUCAAUCAGACAGAUAAAUGAGCGAGAACAUUUUUAUUAACAUGCUACAUACCUAAUAACAUUUUUGAAACCAUUAGCCAGCCACACUACACCAGUGGCAGCUUCCCUAUGCUGAGUGGUUCUCCCACCCUCCAAUUUUUCUCCUAUGAACAGAAAGCUGUAGUGCUGAUUGCAAAGGACAGAUACCUAAUUAUAGGCUUGUUAUUAGCAGAGUCUGGGAAAUCAAAAGUCUGCAGUUCAUAUCAUGUAGAGAAUGAUGAAGCAUCUCAAAUCACUAAUGUGAUUCAAAGU